UGCAGACCUGAGCAGGGGAUUCAGCAGGUGAAGCCAGAGGAGAGAAGCAAUGAGCUAGAGCUCGCCUGAGCAACACGCAGGUGGAUGUGGGAAUACUGGCAGCAGUCAUUGGAGAGAAGAAUUUGAAGAGAAAGGAAUGGCCCAGGUCAAACACUGCAGACAAGUCUGGUGGGGGGAUGUCAUUCCUUGAAUGAGAAGAGAGUGGCUGGCAGUGUCUCCAUGGCAACCAGCAAGAGCCCACCCAAGGACCCCUCUUGUGAUGGAAGAGAUGGAGCCGAGACCACGACUCCAGGGAGUGAGUGUCUCUCUGUAGCAGGUGUCCAGAGCCACAGCUCCUUCUCAGGCCCACUUCGCAGAAGUCGGGUGAAGCUGAAACUCUUGGCAAGACCCUGAAGUGCACGGCUGAAAAAUUACAUGCCACGCACAUCUGCAACGAGCACCGUGAGGCUUUCUAGAGGAGAUUUAUUACCUCCCUUCCCACCUCCUUUUGGAAGGCUUCUGGAUGCUGUUCCUUGUGUAUAGUAUGCGCCUCCGGCUUAUCACUACGGAACAAAGAGCUCACCACCGCAGCUGUUGGGAACACUGCUGGCUGACGUCCCUCUACUGUUAGAACUUACACGGGAUGCCUCCACUAAAGAAAUCAGCUUCCCAGGAGGCUGGCCUCCAAUAACUUAUCCACAUGAGGACAAAUAUCUGGCUCCUUCUUUCCAAUCUGAGUCCACGCCUAAGGAGCUUCCAAAUUCCAGCGCUCCUAACAGGAUUGGUUGGGACCUUCACUGGACCUGUAUCAUAGCCCAACUUCUGCCUGCUCGGGUUCCUUCUGCUCAUUCCACAGGUGUGGAUCCGAAAAGCAUCCCCUAACACACCUCCUACAUGCUGAUCACUUCUAAGAGCCUGAAUCCUGGGCAACCCAGCCUGUGACGACUCCUUAACGAUGAGACACAUUCUACUUGCACCUUUCAACCUCUGACCUCCCCCCUUUACCUACCUGGCACACAGAUAUUAUGUAUAUGGCAGAGCAGUCAUCUUGUGUCCAUGAAACAUGAAGUGUAAGGACGAAUGCCAGGGCCUGUGCUGUGGCACAGCAGGGAAAGCCGCCACUUGCAGCACUGGCAUCCACUAUAGAUGCAGGUUCAAGUCCCGGCUGCUCCACUUCCGAUUCCGCUCCCUGCUAAUUGGCCUAGGAAGGCAGUAGAAGAUGGCCUAAGUCCUCGGGCCCCUGCACCCACGUGGGAGACCUGGAAGAAACUCCUGGCUCCUGGCUCCUGAUCAGCUCAGCUCUGGCCGUUGUGGUCAUUUGGGGAGUGAACCAGCGGAUGGAAGACCUCUCUCUCUCUCUCCCCCUCCCCCAUCUCUCUUGCUCUCGCUCUCAGUCUGUCACGGCCCCUUCUCUCUGUAACUCCACCUUUCAAAUAAACAAAUAAAUCUUAAAAAAAAAAGAAAAAAACCAGUAAGAAUGCCACACAUUUAGGACGCCAACAGAAAGCACAAAGGAGCCCCGGAUCCUGGUGCUACCAUGAAACCACGGAGCAGAC